UUUCGUCACCAGCCAGUCAAUCGUAACGAGCUUUUCGCGCUUGCUCGCGCGUUCUCCGCAUCAAAAUCGCAUUCUGCAAAACUUGGUCGACCGUGCAAAUAGUCUCGUCGUAUUUCGCGUUAUUUGUUUGAUCGAAGUGUGAAGUGUGAAGACCGGGAGUGCCG